CAAAGGCUUAUCCUUUGAAUUACCUGUUUGACCUAGAUAAUAAAGGUUCAGGGUUUCGCAGACGUAAACAAGACUUGGACGGAAUACCUCUCAAUCAGGGGUCAUAUAGCCUUCGGACAGAUGACAAAAUCAAGAAUCUUGCCUCUUAUAGUAUUAGUUACAAGGUAAAAUAUCGCAUCCAAGUGAGCCAAUCGCGGCAGCGUGAUGUAGCCUCCACAACCGUUCACAACUGCCAUCUUUGAUAUACGAAACACGUGAGAUUCAAGCAAAAUGGUCCGAUUCCUUCACGAAGAGCGGCCGGAGCCUAGCAUCGGGGGCUAUUACAAGAAGGCCUUGACGAAGCUGGGCUGUAUUCAGAUGGCGUGCGGACUUCUUGCCUUACUUGCUUUCCUAUUAGAAUGGAAAGUGUUUGGCUUCUUAAUUCCUCCAUACAUCAUCGGUUUUGUCCACUUAUUCGGUGGCGGAUGGUGCGUCAUCGAGGUAUACAGACGAGGAAGGAUAACGCCUGGGUUGUUCGUAAUUGCGACAGUGGUGGCGCUAUUUUCGGCCAUCAUAGCCUGCGUUCAGAUGGUGUUCUCCAUCGUCAUCAUGUGCCAAGCCAAAGUCUCCGCAGAGUAUUACCGGACCUUGGACGAUCAUCUUACGGAUUCCAUAGACAGUCCGGCCACUAUUGAGGCUUUCGCAGUUGUUGUGUUGCUGAUUGGUGCAGUGUCCCUCUCGGCUGGGGUUGCUCAAGCCCUGAUCUGCAUCAGGCAGCUGAACAAUAAAGACGACACGUACAACAUACCCGUCCGGUAUUUGACAAAAGAACCCGAGCCAAAAUCAGCAUCGACGACGAACCUUGUUGGUGGUGACGAACUUGAGCAGGAGCCAAUUGCCACUAUCCAGAUCUAGAUUAAACUCCUCUGUUAUGUUACUCAAAAAGAGUGGUGCAAUGAACAUGACUUUUGUAUAUAAUGUUAUUGGUACUGUUCUAAUAUUUACAUACAUUUUACUUAGUAUUCCAAUGUCAUUAAAUAUGUGUUGGCAUAUACAUGUAUACUCCCCAAAACACUCAUUGAUGUAAACGUGUUUUGAAGAUUUGAAACCUACGUACCCCAGCCGAAAAACCGAAAAGGUUUUGUGAAUCUGAAAAACGUUCAAGGCUUUUUCAUAUUGUUGAAAAAUCUCUACGGGGUGCAUAUUUGUCUUGGCCAAAAGUGAAAAACCUCAACAAGCUUUAUUUUUAUGAGUAGUCCUGUUUUGUAAAUUAAUGCAAUGUAGAGUUAAAGGGAAGCAUCCAUUGACGCUUACUAUAUGUUGCCGUAUACAUAAAAGAUUUUACAUGUAGCCAUGUACAUUUGUAAUAUAGUUAUGAUAGUUUUCGUUCGCUUUCUAAAAAGACACCGUCCCAGUAGAAACUAUGAAUUCAAUAUACGUGUAUAGAUUGUAAAAAGUGAGAGAAAAAAGCGAUAUCGAGUUCAUGACUUAGUUUGGCUGUGCAAUAUUAAAACCGUCCUGAGCAUUUUUCACAAUUAGUACAUUCCCUCAAUACCGAUACAUUCCAAAUUCACGCUGACGAAGUCAAUUUGUUACACAGGUUCGGAUAUUUUGUUCCAAGUUUGAUCAUUUCACCAAUACAUGUAUGUACUUUUGAUCCAGGGUAUCAAAAAUAUGAUGCCUGUUCUUCGAUAAGUGUAUCUACUGGUGACCUUGGCUUUGUACCCUUUGAGCAUGUUGCAGGAACAGGUUCCCAUUAUCUGACUGAAUCAUGUCUCCGAAAAAAGUAUUUUGUCGAAAGAUCAACAUUAUUUGUUAUAUUUUUUAGGGGACACACACUGCCAGUGACAUAUCGGUGGUACAUGUUACUGUAACCAGGUCGGCAACCGAGCGUUGUCAUGAAAUAAGUUGAUGAAUAAACAUGAAAUGCUCUCUAAAAUAUGUAGAGAAACACCUAUACAUGUUAUACUACGCACGUUUAGUAACAAACCACAUCUCAACAUUUGACAGUUGUGCUCUGAGACGAAUAGAUACAGGUAUAUACGCCAUCUUAUUGCUGGUAAUAUAUUACAUGUAAUAGUGUUGUAUAAAGAUUUCAUAUAUAUAAGCCAAGAGCAUUUAUCAAAAAAAAUUCGUUUGAACUAAUUACUUCCAUACUGAACUUCCAGCGGUAUUGCCUAGCCUCGGACGUGCGUUGUCUGGAAACUGAACAAGGUCAAUGCAUUGACGGCCAAGAUGAUCAUUUCCGACCUUUCCAUUUUGUUCACCGGCCAAAAUGAUAAAGGAAGUGACUACAUGUACUUGGCAAGCUCGGCUUACCAAACAGCGACUUUUCCUUGUCCUGAAUGGAGAGCCAAACUCAUUAAUAUUAAAGUAAAGUCUCCAGCUCGCCAAACAGGGUAGAUUUUUUUACAGGGUGGCUUUUUAGUGCUGUUUGGCAAGCGGCUCUCCAAACAGGACAAAAAAAUGCCUGUUCGGCGAGCGGCUUGACAAAUAGACCCGGCCAACGAUAAAGCACGCCGAUGUUGACCAGUUGACCGACUUGACUUCAGCAAAGUAAAGUACUUGCUCCUGUCUAUCGUCUCCCAUGAUUAAACGCCUGCUUUCGACUUGUAGUCAUUGGUUGUGAAGGUACGAAGCAAAACAAUAAUUAACACACACUUAAGAUAAUAAUAAUGUUUUAAUCACAAUCGAUUUCAAGUCUCUCGUGUUAAAGCAUUUCCUUCACGGAAUUAGGAAAGAACCGUUUUACAAUAUUCUUUCAAAGAAAGACAGCAAUUCGCAUUUACAAUGUGAUCAAGCUGAUUGAGUUUUCGAAGUUUCAA